rnacentral:misc_RNA from 1 species
AAAGUCGUAACAAGGUUUCCGUAGGUGAACCUGCGGAAGGAUCAUUACAAAUCCAAAACAAUUACCCGUUAUAAUGUUCUCGGCCUUGGCAUACAUGAUAUAUGAUAUGUUUCACGUAUCAUUUAUUCAUCGUUAUGGUGUCCGUGUGUGGCGGAAAAUGAAUGGUUGGUGCAGGAGAAUGUGAAGAAAAGACAGAUGAUGAUGCGUCCAACGCACCCUCUCGUCUCCUUUACCUUCCCCUUCCCUUCCACCCUCAUCCCCUCACUUAUACACUUACAUCAUAACACCAAGGUUCGACUUAAUGACUUUAACCAUGGACAUACCAGUAACCAUGUCGUUUACGCGACAAAACACAAAACAACUUUUAACAAUGGAUCUCUAGGCUCUU